GUGAUCUGUUUAGCAUGGAAAUAGCAACUUAUAGCUGCUUUUAACCAAGGCCAGGCCCAAAUAUAUGUGGGAGGAAACAGAAUAACCAUGUGCCAGUAUCCCUUUACCCUGUGGUGGAAGUACUCUCAAAACAUGAAAGAUCCUUAGACUGGAGGGUAAACAAGCUCAAAAGAAAAGGAAAGAGACAGCUGAAAAAGAAAAUUCACCAGCAUCAACGGCUGAUGGAUGGAUGAAGCCC